AAAUGCUAAAAUUAUUAAUUAUUAAAGACAAUAUUAUACAAAUUAGAUUUGAUGUUGAAAUGAGUGAUUACAAACGAGCUACUCGAGAAGAACUUCUAGCCAAAGUACCUGGAAAGUUUGGAAUAUUAAUAAGUUCACUUAAAAUUGAUGAAGAACUCAUAAAAGCUGCUGGUAAACACAUUUACUAUAAUGAAAUAUACUCCAAUAUUACA